rnacentral:rRNA from 1 species
AGAACGAACGCUGGCGGCAUGCCUAACACAUGCAAGUCGAACGCUCUUGGGAUUUCGGUCUCAAGGGAGUGGCGCACGGGUGAGUAGCGCGUGGGAACCUGCCCUGUUGUGGGGGAUAACCGAGGGAACCUUCGGCUAAUACCGCAUAAGCCGGCUGUCUUGCGAAAGAUGGCCGGGAAAGAUUUAUCGCGACAGGAGGGGCCCCGCGUCGGAUUAGGUAGUUGGCGGGGUAACGGCCCACCAAGCCGGUGAUCCGUAGCUGGUCUGAGAGGAUGAUCAGCCACACUGGGACUGAGACACGGCCCAGACUCCUACGGGAGGUAGCAGUGGGGAAUAUUGGACAAUGGGCGCAAGCCUGAUCCAGCAAUGCCGCGUGAGUGAUGAAGGCCUUAGGGUUGUAAAGCUCUUUCGCCCGCGACGAUGAUGACGGUAGCGGGAGAAGAAGCCCGGCUAACUUCGUGCCAGCAGCCGC